GUCGGAGGGACCAAGCAUAAAAUAAGAAUGAGCUAGUUCGGAAAUUUAAAAAUGAGAUUUAAUAGUGUAAACUGUCACUGUACAUAAUGUCAUAAAAUCAUAGUUUCAAGUAAUUUAACUUUGAAAUGAAUAAGACCCCAAUGGCCCAUAGUGCAAGAUUCUUUACACAAACACUGAAAUUAUAGUUUCACUUCAUUUGUCAAAGAGAAACAAAGAAUACCAAAAGGACAUUCAAACUCAUUACUUGAAAAUAAACUGACCACGUCAUGGCUAAAAAGUUGAAAAUAACUGACCACGACAUGGCUAAAAAGUUGAAAAUAAAUUGACAUUCUAACUCCAAUGUCUAAAAUAAACUGUC
rnacentral:lncRNA from 1 species